AGAAAGGCUGUUUCCGAUAGACCCUCAGCUCAAGACAAGGAAUAAUAGACAAAUACUUAAUAAAGCAUGGAACAAGAUAUCAAGACAAAAAUAUGCCACCCACAAGGGAUAAUAAACAAAGAACAGUAAACACAUUCGUAAUAAAGCAUACAACAAAGUGUCCUAGAAAGAAUAAUACAUCUACCAAGUAAUGUCCUACCCCAACGAAUCAAACUGGCACUAGCCUUCUAUCCUAAUCCGCGC
rnacentral:lncRNA from 1 species